UUAGCGUUCUCGGCCUUUUGGCUAAGAUCAAGUGUAGUAUCUGUUCUUAUCAGUUUAAUUAGCAUUUUUAAGGAUAUGGGGUGGGCUGAAUGAAGAUGGUUUGGAUAAAUAAUUGAUUCUAUAUUUAUUGUCAGCUGCUAGGAUGCUUAUUGUAAGAAAAUGGAUGUUUUGGCCUACAACUCCCAUGAUCCCUA